GCUAUGGUACUUGAAGGGUGAUUCUCAAAUACACAUCUGACUGCUUCCUUUCCACUGAAAACAAAGUCUGGAGGUACAAUCUGGAGUGAGACAUCUGGACUGAGACACUCUUCUGUUACCCACUUUCUGUAUGAACUUGGAGUGCACGUAUACAUACCGUGUUCAUACAGACACCCAGAGGCCAGAAGAGGGUGAUGAAUCCCACGGAACUGGAGUUACCAGUGAUUGUGAGCCAUUGAGAAUUGGCUGAUGAUCUCAAAGGCUUUCCAAGACUUUUGGAUGAAGUUCAAAUGGUUGGGCGUGGACAAGUCACAGUUCCAACUAUCCAGAUGGAGCCAAGAAGUCUGGGACCAACUGCAGGCCCCAAGAGUGCUAACUUGUUUAUUAUGGAUGAGAAUAUGGGACUCGCGCCCAGAUGUAUUCAGCAUAUAUAAUUGGCAUUUUCAAAGGGCAACACAGCCUGUAAGUCAUCCCAGCACCCCUAGAUUACCUGGCAUCACGCCAAUGUUGACAGAGAAAAAUGAACACCAGGCAAGUGGAAAACAGCGCUGAGGGAAAACCAUAAUGGAAACUUCUAGGAAGGAUUUCACCGUGGUCAGUAGAAUGCAUGAUCAUCACAAAGUGCCUGGACUACUUUGCACAUUGCUAACUUUCCAUUCAAGAGGAAAGGGAGAGGCUGUGUUUGGAUGCCCCCUUUCUAAACGGGAGGAAAUGUGCAAAAGACAAAGUUAAAGUCAAAUACUUAGUGCCACCAGAAAGCCCUUUUUGGGUUCCGAGAAUUGGAGGAUAUCAGCAUGGAUAUACGUCAAGGGAACCACCAGGGGGCGACCCAAGAAUGGGAAAAAAGCAGCAGCGGCCAAGAAAAGUUGCUUUUAGAACAUCUGAAGAAAGCUCAGGUACCCAGUAAGCAGAACAAGGUGAUAUUUCAACGUGUUGAUUUUUAUAUUUCAACGUGUUGAUUUUUACCCAAGGUUACUCUUGACUUGGGAAUUCCUCCUAAGCGAUCAGAAACACUAAGCAACAACUUUCUAAACAGAAUUGUGCUAUCAGGAGAAACAGCAAUGCCGGGACAGUGCAGUUGAUGAAUUUAAAUCCCUUCUCCAGGGCAGUGGAAAACUUCUAAAUGCUCGCAAAUUGGAAAGAAAUGCAAUUAAUAGUACCAGAGAGUAAAGAAAAUCUGAGCACACUUGACUAGUGUUUAUAUACAGAUAGACUCACACAUAGAUUGCCCUAUUACCCAACUCUGACUGUUUGGGGAAAGACAUACAUACUGAUUACUCGUGUUAAUGCCCAGGUUAGAGAUUGAAGUGUGAUCACAAUGUUUUAUCUUUUUUCCACAAGUCUCAUGAAAAAAUUAUUUUUUCAAGUCAAAUUCCCUUUUCUCCCAAUAAGUCUUGAUGACAUUUUACUAUAUUUAAGAACUCCCAAAGAAGGAAGCAAGGGGCAUUAGAGACUUUAUAGAACAGAAGAAAAGUCAACUUAAGUGGGCAAUAAAAGAAUGGUUCUUCCUGAUCCUAUACUCUAGUUGACCAAUAAACAUCUUUCCUACAGUGGGAAAGCAAAAGGAGAUAUUUUUGUGGGAUUUCCUAUCUUUGUGUUUGACUGCUCUGGCAAUUAUCUGGGAGUA